CUCCUUAUCUCACGACCACACACUCUUCAUCUUCAUCUUUUAUUUUGUUUUGCUCACCAAACACACACACACACACACGGCAGCACACUUCCCCCUCUCAACCACGAAAAUCUCCACCAUUUUCUCACUUGUCUCUUGCUCUUCUCCCUUCUCUCAUCAACCCUUGAAUCUUGGGAGCCAUGGCAUGAGAGGGCUUUGAUUUCUUGUUGGAAGCAUUAUAUUGCACAAAGUGGCCUUUCAAGAGAAAAAACCGUUUGGCUUGGGCUUUGCUUCAAAUCAAGUCCUUCAUCGUUUUUGAGCGUUGAGUAACGAUUUUUGGGUGUUAGGACCUCCAAUCUACCGAUUAUUUUGAGACUCUGAUGUUUUGACUGCAGGUUCGGUGGAUCUACUGAAUGAUGUCGUAGCAUAGUACUUGAGAUGUUAUGACUGAAGCCCGACGCGACAGUUAUAGUGGUUGGACCAUGGGUUGUCCGCCUUUUGGUAGACUUUGUUUAUGGCUCGUGUCGCCUGUGACACUUGUAUUUAUGAGCUACUCUUUUAGUAUGUAUUUAAUAGUUUUGUAGAAGUCUUAAACAAAUGGACAUAUUAAUGGCUCUUUUGUUGUGAUUAACUGUUGUUUAUAGAUGUACUUUCCGCUAUGUUGAUAAUGUUAUUAUGUGUUAUCUGC